GGGAAUGUAGCUCAGGCGGAAGAGCGGAGAGUGUAUAGCUCUUGACGUCGCAGGUUCGAAUCCUGCCUUUCCGA
rnacentral:tRNA from 1 species